AUUGAACGCUGGCGGCAUGCCUUACACAUGCAAGUCGAACGCGAAAGCGGGGCAACCCGCUAGUGGCGUGGCGAACGGGUGAGUAAUACAUCGGAACGUACCCAGUAGCGGGGGAUAACCUCUCGAAAGAGAGGCUAAUACCGCAUACGACCUACGGGUAAAAGAGGGGGAGUCCAAGGGCAACCGAGGACCUCUCACUAUUGGAGCGGCCGAUGUCGGAUUAGCUAGUUGGCGGGGUAACGGCCCACCAAGGCGACGAUCCGUAGCUGGUCUGAGAGGACGACCAGCCACACUGGAACUGAGACACGGUCCAGACUCCUACGGGAGGCAGCAGUGGGGAAUUUGGACAAUGGGCGCAAGCCUGAUCCAGCCAUGCCGCGUGAGUGAAGAAGGGCC
rnacentral:rRNA from 1 species